rnacentral:rRNA from 1 species
CAAUAGCGUAUAUUAAAGUUGUUGCAGUUAAAAAGCUCGUAGUUGGAUUUCUGGUGGGAGCGAUCGGUCUGGCGCUUAGCGCGAGUACUUGCAUCGUCUCCGGCCAUCCUUGGGGAGAGUCUGUCUGGCAUUAAGUUGUCGGGCAGAGGAUCCUCAUCGUUUACUGUGAAAAAAUUAGAGUGUUCAAAGCAGGCUUAUGCCGUUGAAUAUAUUAGCAUGGAAUAGUAAGAUAGGACUUUGGUACUAUUUUGUUGGUUUGCGCACCAAAGUAAUGAUUAAUAGGGACAGUUGGGGGUAUUCGUAUUCCGUUGUCAGAGGUGAAAUUCUUGGAUUUACGGAAGACGAACUACUGCGAAAGCAUUUACCAAGGAUGUUUUCAUUAA